UGGAAGCCUUUUUUCCACACUGUUGUACUGAAGUUUUGACCUCCACUAGAGGGCGACAUUAUCAAGUAGGCGGUGCACUACUUCUGCACUGUGUUCAACCAUUGCGUCAAUAAUAACUGCUGCUGUGAAGAGAACAAUUCUCAGACUGAAUGUUGAACAGCAGCUAGUUUCUCCUGUUGAUUUAAACCUUGUUGUAGAGAUGGAACAUUGGCUGUGGAUUAUUCUUGCUGCUCUUAUCUUUGAGUGUAAAGGAGAAGACAUAGUGAUCCAGCCAACAGGAGAUGUCAUUGCUACUGAUGGAGACACAGUGACACUUGGCUGUACAUUUGAUAACAGUGACCCAGGUCCCACUUUGUUCUGGUACAAACAGGAUGGAGACAACAGCCCCAAAUUCAUACUGAGCCGCUUUAAACUGGACGAAGGGAACACACCAGACGAGUUUAAGGAGAGAUUUUCGUCCACACUGGAUUCCACCUUAAAAUCAGUUCCUCUGAAGAUCCAGAAGCUUCAGCUGUCUGACUCUGCUGUGUACUACUGUGCUCUGCAGCCCACAGUGACAGGAAACACCAAGACUCUGUACAAAAACCUUUGGAGCAAAGACAACAGAAUACUCCACAACAUCCACUAGAGGGAGUCACACACUGUUAAACCAAUACGUUCAUUGAACUGAUGAGAGGAACUGAAAAAAUGACAUCAAGAGGUGAUUGGCCCCACCCAUUGAGCAUCAGCUCAACCAAUGACAUUAUUUCUUACUCAUUCUACUGCAGUGGAAGAACAUUGCUCAUCUGCUGUCUGUCUGGCUUUAACAACUCCAAAGACAUGUUGCUUUACCUCUUUUUACUUUUCUCUCACUUUACAGGUGAGUUUAAGAACAGAGAUUUAAGUUUUGUUUAACCUGCUGCAUUAACCAGAUAUACACAACCUGUAUUUCAG